UAAGUUUCCUCUUUCUCUAUCUCUCCCUCUUGCCGUCGCACUACACUUCUCCCUUCCGCACCUCAGUCUCUUCCACCUGCCCCGCCUCCACCGCUCAGUGCACUAAACUUCUCUCUGUCUUCGUCUUGCUCUCCUCAGUGGCUCCCUUCCGGGCCUCAGCGUAUAAGUCAUCCCCAAGACGGAGUGCGUCAAAGAGUAGGCCGUGGCCGUGGCCGUUUUCCGCUGGGAUAUCAUUCAACGGCAUCUUCAGAUUCAGAUCUAUAACCGUGAAAGGCGAUGGCGGCUUCAGAUUCGACCAACACAUCGCGUGUUCUACAUCCAGCAGUGGAUGUGGCGGCAGUGACCACUUCAAAUCGCAUCUCUCCCUUCUGAUCCAGCCUUCAAUCUCCAUUUACUGAAAUGAAGACAACUAUUACGAUCUCGUUGGGUGAUUUUCUAUUACGAUCCUUUCCUCUACUCUACAUUGCAGUGAAUCAAUUUUAUUUCUCUGUUCUGGAUGUUUCGAAGUUACCAAGACUGGAUUUUUUGAGUUCUGUUUCCUAAACUGUGAGUGUGCGGCUGAUAGCAUUUUUGCGUUUUGAUUUGCAGUAAAACUCUAUUGAAGCCGACAAUACUUUGGAUAAAGCUAUUGAGAAACCGUAGAGAGAUUCAGCUGGAGCAGAUGCUCAAAGAAAUUGCCAAGCUUCUCGAAACUGGUCAGGAAGCCACUGCUCAGAUUCAGGGCUAGUUGUGGCAUUACUUGGAAAAGAAACUACUGCUGGUGAUUUUCUGGUUGAAGAUGUUCUAGAGGCUGGCCUAGCACAACAAAUAGAGCAACCACUUCAAUCAGGUAUAUCAUGACACAAAUGUGUAUUCUAAGGAUGGAAUAUAUGAGAUAAGGAGGGCAUGGAUAGACUAUUUUGUAAAUAAGUGCAUAUAAAUGUUUAUUAUGUGAUUUAGAUGGAAUUACAUUAUAUAUAUAAUGAUAGAUUAAUGUUAGGGUUA